rnacentral:rRNA from 1 species
CACGUAGGCACCAAGCGUUGUCCGGAUUUAUUGGGCGUAAAGAGCUCGUAGGCGGUUCAGUAAGUCGGGUGUGAAAACUCUGGGCUCAACCCAGAGACGCCACCCGAUACUGCUGUGACUUGAGUACGGUAGGGGAGUGGGGAAUUCCUGGUGUAGCGGUGAAAUGCGUAGAGAUCAGGCGGAACACCCGUGGCGAAGGCGGCCAGCUGGGCCGUCCCUGACGCUGAGGCGCGAAGGCGUGGGGAGCGAACGGG